ACGGGAAGGUCCAUUUCACCUAUUGAAAAAGACAGCAAGUGAGUAGUGUUACCACUAUUAAAUCUGACGUUUCAUGAAUGAGUCUUUUCACUUUCAUGGCUGAAGAAGCAGCAUCUCUUAUAAUGAGGGUUAGGGUUUGGAUUACCCUGAGGAUUAGGGUAAGGGUUAAGUCAUGCUUGCAUCCCCGUUUUGGCAAGGGAGGAACGUCACACCUGACCCCCGCCACCCUCCUUGUGGAAGGGUGUUCAGGCAUGCAGCCUGCCUCCCCUCCACAAGGGAGUAGUGAUGCCACUACUUAAUGUGUUGUUUCCUGAAUGGCUCUUUUCCCUUUCACAGCUGAAGAUGCAGGCAUUUCUUAAGGUAAGUGUUAUGGUUAGGAUUGCCGUUCAUGGUUAGGGUAAGGGAUAGGCCAUGCCUGCACCCUCCCUUGGAGUGGGAGGGCGUUCACACAUGAGCCAUGCCCCCCUCAUCUUGGGAGGGUGUUCACCAAUAGGAACCAGUCCCCUUCAGCGGGGGGGCUGUUGAUGUAUGCGCCUGCACCCAUCUCGUGUGUGAGGGUGUUCAUGCAUGGACACCACAACCCUUGGCGAGGGAGGGCAUUUGUCCAUGCACCAUGCCCUCCUUGGCUCAGGAGGUGUUCACGCAUGAGCACAGUGCCCCCUUGGCUUGAGAAGGUGUUCAGGUAUGUGCAUGAACCUGCCCCCCAGCGUGGGAGGGGGUUCACACAUGUGCCCUCCCCCCUCAGGCGCUGGAGGGGGUCACCUGUGCACAGCACCACUAGUCAGCAAGGGAGUAGUGAUGCCACUAUUAAAUCUGACAUUUCAUGGACGGCUGUUUUCACUUUCACAGCUGAAGAAGCAUGCUUCUCUUAAGGUCAGGGGUAGGGUUAGCAUUACAGUUAGGGGUUAAGAUAAGGGCUAGGUCAUACUUGCUCUCCCCCCUCAGCACGGGAAGACUUCAUGCAUCACCCCACUAUCCUGAGCAAGGGAGAGUGUUCACCCUUUCACCCCAAUCCCUGAGAGUGGUAAAAUAUUGAAGCACGUGCUCCACUCCACUUCCGCUGGGGAGGGCUUUCACACAUGCGUAGAUCCCCCCUUCGGGACAGAUUGUUCACAUAUGUGCAUGACCACCUGUCGGGUCGGGAGGGUGUUCAAUCGCGGGCACACCCCACCUCUGCAUGGGAGAUGGUUCAUGCAUGUGUCUUGCUCACCUCAGCAGGGAAGGUUUUUACGCAUGUGCACAGCCCCACCUUGGUGUGGGAGGAGGUCACCCAUGCAGAGCGCCACCCUUAAAUGAGGGAAUAGUGAUGCCAUUAUUAAAUGUGACGUUUCAUGAAUGGUUCUUUUCAAUUUCACAGCUGAAGUAGCAGACAACUCUUAAGCUGAAGAAGCAUGCAUCACUUAAGCUGAAGAAACACAGCUGAAGAAACGCGGCCAGGGAGGGCGUUGACGUAUGCUCCCCGCUCCCCUUGCCAGGAUGCUGUUCACGCAUGUGCAAAGUCCCCCCUCCUUGCCAAAGGGGGUUCAGGCAUGCCCACAACCCCCGCUCUGUGAGGCAGACCAUUUGUACAGGCACACGACCCUCCCUCAGCAAGGGACAGUGUUCAUGCUUGGCCCCACUCACCUCGGUGGGAAGGGUGUUCACACAUGCACAUAAGCCCCCUCAGCAUUGGAGGCGUUCAAACAUGUGCCUCACCCCACUUGACGCCAGAGGUGGUUCAGGAUUCUGCCUUGCCCCUGGUUGGUGUGUGAGAUGGUCACCCAUGCACAGUGCCACCUUUUAGGGAGAGAGUAGUGAUGUCACUAUUAAAUGUGAUAUUUCACGAAUGGUUCUUUCACUUUCACAGCUGAAGAAACACACAUCUCUUAAGACUUGCAUCUUCCCUCUACCUCUAUACUCCAAGUUCCUGGCUGGCACUGGAAUUACAUCUUUAGCACGGACAUCAUAACCUCCAGGUGAGAUUCAGGCUUGUUUCCGGGAAGAAACCCUGACAGAAAUUCAGAAGAACAGGAGCUGCAUUCCGUUAGGACAUGAAUACAUGAAAUGCUCGUCUUGGGAACUCCUAGAAGAAUGAGCUGGGACCCACUUUCCGAGUCCUGCUAGAACCAGUGACCGAGAAAAUAAAAACGCCCUGGAAGACAAGUGUAAUGCAUUGAGGUCUGUGAAAGCCACAAAGGAAGCAAAAGUCAAACAGCUGAAAGAGAAAGCACAUAACCUGGAAGAAUUCUAUGAACAAAGAAAAGUGCCUACAAAAAAGGUAAGAUGGGGGCGCUUGGGUGGCUCAGUCGGUUGAACGCCCAAAUUCGGCUCAGGUCAUGAUCUCACAGUCCAUAAGCUCAAGCCCCAUGUCGGGCUCUGUGUUGACAGUUCAGAGCCUGGAGCUUGCUUUGGAUUCUAUAUCUUCCUCUGGCCCUACCCAACUCGCACUCUGUCUCUAUCAAAAAAUGAAUAAACGUUAACAAAAAUUUAGAAAAGUAAGAUGUUCAUGUGAGAACUGUC